CCACUCUCCCCAGGGCGAGUCCGACGACUCCAUUCUCCGACUGGCCAAGGGGGACGGCAUCGUGUCCAAGAACUUCUGACCUGGCCGCAGCCUUUGUCACAAUAAACCCGGCAAGACCA